rnacentral:lncRNA from 1 species
UGCGAGUGCUGCCUUGUAGCGGCAUUAGCCUACUCUUUUUCGAAAUCUACAAGGGUGUCUUUAACGUGCAAGAGAUAUGGCUCUCUCUUAACACGGGCCAGCCAUUUAUCGUCCCCGUCCGACGGACUAUCAUCGUUUCCUCAAGACCAUACUCGCAAAUGAUGUCAAGGGAGAGCCGAAAAUUGAGUUCCUGAAAUUUUCAUCCCAAACGGGAAUCGAACCAGGAACCUUUGUGUUAGUAGUCCGAUGCACUAACCACUACACCACG